rnacentral:rRNA from 1 species
GCUUGUCUCAAAGAUUAAGCCAUGCAUGUCUUAGUGUAAAUAACUCUUAUGAAACUGCGAAUGGCUCAUUAAAUCAGUUAUCAAAUACGUGAUGGUCGCCUACUACAUGGAUAACCGUAGUAAUUCUAGAGCUAAUACAUGCACAAAGGCCCACUCACGUGGGUUGUGAUUAUUAGAUUCAAACCGGCCUUGAGGUGAUUCACAAUAACCGAACGAAUCGCAUAGCUGCCGCUGGCGAUAGACCAUUCAAGUUUCUGACCUAUCAGCUAUCGUCGGUAGGGUAUUGGCCUACCGUGGCAAUGACGGGUAACGGAGAAUUAGGGUUCGAUUCCGGAGAGGGAGCCUGAGAAACGGCUACCACAUCCAAGGAAGGCAGCAGG